ACUCCUCCAACCAAGAACAUCUGAAAUACAGGAGGCAGAAAAAUCUAACCCUAUGUCUUGGCAGUUUUGUCUGCCAUGAGCCUCCUACUCCCAUAAAACAACAGAAGAUAUGAAGAUGUCUUGAUGUCCUGGUUUAAAGAUCACUAACUUAACAAGUGUAUUAGCAAGAUUGGAGCCAGCAACUGUGACUUGAUAUCAGAGGCAGUUGCAGGGUAGCAGCUAAGGAGCUACCACAGGAGAUGGAGACCUUUGACAGAGAGGCUGUGCAGUCCCUGCCCAUGCUGGGCAUGAUUUCCUGGACCAUUUUUGAGAAGGCCCCUUAAGUAAGUAAAGGCUUAAGCCUGCUACUGAUUCCAGUGCACUUUGACUCUUGCCAUGAGGCUGAAGACUUGGAUAUAUAGAAUCACGGAGACCAUUCAGCUACAGAAGAUGGGAAACAUGCUCCCAUGAGUAGCAACUACCUAAGGUGUUACAGGAGUUUCAGUCCUGUCCCCAGAUUCCUGCACGCUGUCUGUAAAGACAGCCAUGCUGGAACAAUCUUCCUUGGAAAAGAGUACAUCAAGGUGGAAGGGGACGUGUUGUUCUCCACAUCCAUGAUGAAUAGGCUGAAUACAGCAGGAAUUAAUUACAGCAAGAUAUUUAAUCUAGAUAUUAAAAUCUGUUCUUAUGUUAAAA